UGGGGAAUAUUGCACAAUGGAGGGAACUCUGCUGCAGCGACGCCGCGUGAGUGAUGAAGGAAUUCGUUUCGUAAAACUCUGUUCUAUGGGAAGAAAAGGACUGUACCAUAGGAGAAAGCUCCGGCUAAAUACGUGCCAGCAGCCGCGGUAAUACGUAUGGAGCGAGCGUUGUCCGGAAUUAUUGGGCGUAAAGGGUGCGCAGGCGGCUUUACAAGUUGGAUGUGAAAUAUUGUGGCUCAACCACAAACGUGCAUCCAAAACUGCAAAGCUUGAGGUAAGGAGAGGUAAGUGGAAUUCCUAGUGUAGCGGUGGAAUGCGUAGAUAUCAGGAGGAAUACCGGUGGCGAAGGCGACUUACUGGACUUAAACUGACGCUCAGGCACGAAAGCGUGGGGAGCAAACAGG
rnacentral:rRNA from 1 species